rnacentral:rRNA from 1 species
CCCUUAGAUGUUCUGGGCAGCACGCGCGCUACAAUGGUCUUCGCAAACGGAUGCAUUCUCGAAGGAGAAUGCCAAUCUUGGAAUCUAUGCCUUGGUCGGGACAGUUGCUUGCAAUUUUUCGACUCGAACCAGGAAUUCCUUGUAAUCGUGAUUCAUCACGUCACGAUGAAUACGUCCCUGCCCUUUGUACACACCGCCCGUCGCUCCUACCGAUCGAAGAGUUAGGUGAAUUGUUUUGAUCGAUAAGAUUUGACUAUGGUCAACUCUCGUUGUGAAAUUCUGUGAAUCUGACUGUUUAGAGGAAGGAAAAGUCGUAACA